GGGAACUUUAGUUCUGCAAGGGGGGAACUACAGCUCCCGGGGUUCUUUGGGGGCAAGUCCCGCGCCCUGGAGGUUUUUCCAGGAAGGGGAACUCCGUUUCAAAGUUUCCCGAAGCUUCUUGGCCAAAGGCCCGCUGCGGGAGAGUUCGAGUGGGUCUCUCUCUGCUGUUGCUGAGUUUUCGUCUUUUCCUUUCCUCUCCGGAAGGGUGAGAAGGGAGAGCAGUGGGAAAUCUGGACACCUUCCUCCCCUUGGCAGUCAGAGCAGCUCGAGACAGAAAUCCAACAGGUCAAGCCACCUCGGGAAGCUGCGGAGGGCGCACCGACCGCUUGGAUUUCUUGCUGCUCUUAAGGUGAAAGGCAGCACCCCGACUGCGGACCAGAAAGACCCAGAAGUGGAAGAGGCAUUUGGGAAGAAGGGGCUGAUCCUGGAGGGCAGCGGACGCCAUUAGUCUUCACUCCGCCCAGCCUUGAAGGUCCAGAGGACCACAAGGGCGUGCCGGAUCGUUGUUCCCCAUCAUCUGGUACUCACACAGGUAGACUGCCCCGGGCCUGGAGGUUCUGCUGCCACAGCGGGCCUCCGCGUGGCGAGCCCUGCCAUUGGAUCAGGGGCAAAGGGGGAACCGGGCGCAAGGGCAGCCCCCCCCCCCCGCGGCUGCUCUCCAGAAGCAUCUCCGCCCUGGGCGCUAGAAGCCCUCGGGAGCCUUCUCCCCUUCCGUGAGUCCGUCUGAUCCUCUUGGAAAGGCGCCCAAGUGCGGGAGGGCGGCAGCGUCUCCAAAUUUGGUUCCCACCGAGAACCGAAAAGUGCGUCACUCUGCAGCCCAUUGACUUUGUUUUGGAAAAGGCUCCCGCUGAGACAGCUUCCAGUUUUUUAUUUUAUUUUUGCCCCAGGCUCAGGACAGAGAAAGAGAGAGCGAGAGAGCGCACUUCUGUUUUCCAGAGAAGUCUUGGAUGCUGUCCUUUGGCACAUGCAGCAGUAGAGGGGGGAGAGAUGGACAGCAGGCACCCCGCCGUUUGCAGAUGGACACUCUCUGUCUCUCUCUUUUGGGGUGGGGCGCUCUGGGGAGCACGGAACAAAGAACAUUUAAGGGCACGUAGGCGCCACCGCCACCUCUCAGCUGUCUGUCGCCGAGCAGGCAAGAAAUGCAGCCUUAAAAGCCCUUGCAGGACAUGUGCGGGGUUUUUUAAAAAGUAAAAAUAAAAAUCAAUCAAGGACCAGGCAGACAGAGGUGGAAUUGCAACCGCACCCGUCCUUUGGCGGUGCUUUGUGCCACCUGGGCACAGGCAGGCUCUGCCCUGUUCCUAGAAUCAUAGGAUUGUCGAGUUGGAAGGGAUCCCAAGGGUCAUCCAGCCCAACCUGCCCCCCCUCCUGUGCAAUGCAGGAGUCGCAGCCAAAGAAUAAUCAAAUUGCAGAGUUGGGUUACUGGCUUUCCUCAGACAGUCUGGCAAAUGGGUUUAUGAGUUUCUUAUUUUUAUUAUGCAUUUUGUGUUUUUUAUGUAUUGUGAUUUUAUGAUGUGAACCACCCUGAGUUCUAUGGGUAUCUGGCAGUAUAAAAAUUUUAACAGUAACAAUGAUAAUGAUAAUAAUAAUAAUAGAAAAAGAGGGACCCCCCCUCAGAAUUGGCAUGCCGUCAGCUCCUGAAGAUACACAAACACACCUGUGUAGAAGCCAGCAGUCACCUGAGCUGAACUUCUUCUGGUUUUAUUGUUUUAACUGGGUGUUCUUUUUUUAAAAGAAGUUCUUACUGUCAGAGAGUUCUUCUGGGUAUUGAGUUGGAACCUCCUUCCUCAUAGCUUGAAGCCAUUGGAUUGGGUCCUGCCCUCUGGAGCAGGAGGGAACAAGCUUGCUGCCCCUUCCCUGCGACAGCCCUUAAGAUAUUGGAAGAUGGCUAUCAUAUCUCCUCUCAGUCUCCUCUUUUCCAAGCUAAACAUAUCCAGCUCCUUCAACCGUUCCUCAUAAGGCUUGGUUUUCAGACCCUAGUUGCCCUUCUCUGCACAUGUUGCAGCUUGUUAACAUCCAUCUUAAAUUGUGGUGCCCAGAAUUGGACACAGUAUUCCAGGUGUGGUCUGACCAAGGCAGAAUAGAGUGGGACUAUGACUUCCCUUGAUCUGGACACUAGACUUCUGUUGAAUAGCAUUAGCUUUUUUUGCUCCUGCAUCACACUAUUCACUCAUGUUGAGAUUGUGGUCCACCAAGACCCCUUGAUCCUUUUCACAUGUACUACUAGUAAGCCAGGUGUCCCACAUCCUAUGUUUGUGCAUCUGGUUCUUCCUGCCUAAGUGCAGAACCUGACAUUUGUCCCUAUUGAAACACAUUUUGUUAGCUUCGGCCCUGUUCUCCAAUCUGUUACGGUCAUUUUGAAUCCUGAUUUUGUCUUCAGCAGCAUUAGCUCCCCAUCCCAGUUUGGUGUCUGCAGAUGACACCAAAUGAGAGAGAAGGAAGAGGAGGAGAAGGAGAAAAAGGUGAAAGAAAAUACUGGUUUUAUAGUUGUUAAUUUCCUAGCAGUCAUUUCAGCACCUAAAUAGCAUAUAAAUCCUUUUGUCUUAGCCUCUGUGUGCUUCCACGUGACACUUUCCUGGGUUACUCAGGCACUGCACAUGUUUGCAUAGUUCGUUCAGUGCCUACACAUGUCCCUCAUCAAAAUGCCAUCCCAUAUAAUUCACACCAUUUAAGGUAGAAUCUCUGUUUCCAUGGAAAAUCCUGUAAGUUGAGAAAACAAAAACAAGACACACACACACCCAGUGCAAAAAGCAACCCCAGAUUAUUAUUAUUUUAGCAUUCUCUCCGUGUGUGAUAAGGGGGUGGCAUUUUGAUGAGGACAAUAUUGUCCACACUGUGCGGGGGGGGGGGGCUCUGCCUGCCUGAGCAGAGAUGAAUUGGCCCCAAAGGGCCAUGUGGAGGAGCCCCCAAUGAUCCCAAAGCAAGGUUUCCCCAUUGCAGGUUUCCUUUGCUUGCUUUGAGGAACAUCAUGUCCUGAGCCAGGAUAUGAGCUAUGUAGCUCAGUGUUGCCCACACAGGCUGGCAGACGCUCCCUAAAGGGCUUUCCAGGCUCAGGGCUCUUCCUUCCUUUCCCAGUCCUGAGAGAAUCAUGGUAUCGUAGUGUUGGAAGGGACCUGGACAAAUAGGAGAGGAGACAAGAUAUAGGAGAGCCCUCUUCCAAUACACCCCAGAAAUGAUCUCUUUCAGCUUCUGCCUUCUGGAAGAAGGUACAGGGUUAUAAAGACUAGGACUAGCCGCCUGAGAAACAGUUUCUAUCCAAAUGUGAUUUUGGUUUUAAACACAGUGUAAGGAGUCUCUAUGGGAGUGUAUUGUAUUUUGAAAUUUGGGGUAUCAGAGUUUUUAGGGGGCUAACCAGGUUGGGAUAGCUGGGGUAGCAGGCUUGUUGGUUUUGAAUGUCUUAUGUAGAUUUUUCCCCCAAUUUCAUUGUUCUGUAUGGGACAAUGACAAUAAAGAUUAUCGUAUUGUAUCG